rnacentral:rRNA from 1 species
GACGUAGGGCGCGAGCGUUGUCCGGAUUUAUUGGGCGUAAAGAGCUCGUAGGCGGCUUGUUGCGUCGACCGUGAAAACCCGGGGCUCAACUUCGGGCUUGCGGUCGAUACGGGCGGUCUGGAGGCGGGUAGGGGCACGCGGAACUGUGGGUGGAGCGGUGAAAUGCGUUGAGAUCCACAGGAACUCCGGUGGCGAAGGCGGCGUGCUGGACCCGAUCUGACGCUGAGGCGCGAAAGCCAGGGGAGCGAACGGG